rnacentral:tRNA from 1 species
AGAGGGGACGGAACUGGUGUUUCAUCUGGUCUUCAAAACCAGCAGCAGACGUAUAAAACCGGCUGUGGCAGGUUCGAUUCCUGCCCCCUCUG